UACCAGAGGAGCCAUCCUCCUCCUCUUCUGAUGGUCCUGUUCCAGAUGAGCUGUUAUGUCUCAUUUGUAAAGACAUAAUGACUGAUGCAGCUGUUCUUCCCUGCUGUGGAAGCAGUUAUUGUGACGAGUGUAUUAGAACGGCAUUGCUGGAGACUGAGGAAUAUACAUGCCCAGCGUGUCACCGGACAGACGUUCCUCCUGAUGGUUUAGUUGCCAACAAGAGCCUACGCCAGGCUGUGAACAACUUCAAAAAUGGUGUUGGCUACACAAAAAGGCUCCGUAAGGAGAUCCAGCAGCAACCAUCAGUACC